rnacentral:rRNA from 1 species
AGAGUUUGAUCCUGGCUCAGGAUUAACGCUGGCGGUAUGCCUAAAACAUGCAAGUAGAACGAGACUGUCGCAAGACAAUUUAGUUGCGAACGGCUGAGUAAUGGAUAGGAAUCUCCCCAAUGGUGUGGAAUACCUCAUCGAAAGAUGAGCUAAUACCGCAUGACACCGAAAGGUAAAAGCGCUUUACUGCGCGCCGAUGGAUGAGCCUAUCUCCCAUCAGCUUGUUGGUAGGGUAAAAGCCUACCAAGGCUAUGACGGCUUCCGUUCGUGAGAGCGCGUUCCCCCAGAAUGGGACUGAGACACGGCCCAUACACCUACGGGUGGCAGCAACAGGGAGACCACACAAUGGACGAAAGUCUGAUGUCGCAAUGAUGGAGAACCAUGAAGGCCUUCGGGUCGUAAACUCCUUUACAGUAAUGAGAAGUUAUGAGAAUA